rnacentral:lncRNA from 1 species
CGACUACCAGCUCGAAGCACCCACCUGUCACAAAUGCGUUGAAAACCUGAGUGCGCAACGAGUCAACCGGACCUACGAAGAUCCACCAGGUCAGUAUCCAACCCACUAACCCAAAGUACACAACUCACAACCCCACACAAAUCCCCGAAUCGGUUUCCCAAAAUAGAUCAACGUAACUCGUCGAAAGUCCCGAAUAUCACACUGGGACGCCGUCGGGACCCACUAAGUGUCCCGAAACUCAUCGACUCGUGUCACGAGUCACCUACUACCACAAAACACCCCAAUUUGGACGUCUUGGCAGCAAACACAAGGUUACACAACUACACUAUUAUCGCCGGAUAAUUAUACACAUACGGGUUCCCGGAAGUGUCAAUUUCGACACCGGAACCCACCGUCGCUCACCCGUCAUCUCCGAACCUACGAUAUGAUGAUGGUGACCAGCCGACAAGGCUUAGCGACAACUCACAGGGCAACCAAACAACAUCGGAAGAAAUCUGAACCAAAACCGCGUUCUUUCGGCAAAUUUCACCGAAAAAACGCACUGAAAUCGACUUUCGAUUUCUGUGAAGGCUAACAGACCUUAGACAAUCAGUCCAGAGGUCACCACAC